CCGUCGAGCUAGCAACACUGCCUGGCAAAGGCAACGCGUCAGCGUCAAAGCAAAGCAGCAACAGUUAAGCGUCGCGUCAAUGGGUGACAGUCGUCAUUUGACAUCAGUCGAAUAACGUCAUCAAACUGUCAGCGACCAGACCACAUUGCUUCUGGCAGUUCCUUUUCCUUACUGAAGCUCAGCGCGAACGGCAGCAAAUAAAGUUGAUGGUGAAAAUUGAAGCAUUGAUAGAGAAGUAUAGUAAGAUUAGUAAAGAUCAAUUAAAUUAGAAAAGGUGAAAGAUAGGAGAGUAGAGAAGGAAGUCGUGGAGUACCUGUAAAAAAGAGACAGGAAAAUCUCAAGCUGUAAAUCGCUACAGCUAAAUAGGGCGCAAGGAAGGAACAGCCCACCAAAUUUUGAAGCCUAUUAAAAAGUUCGCUAUCAAAACGGUCUUUUCCUGCGCCCUACAACCUCGACAAUCU